rnacentral:rRNA from 1 species
UACGUAGGGUCCGAGCGUUGUCCGGAAUUACUGGGCGUAAAGAGCUCGUAGGUGGUUUGUCGCGUUGUUCGUGAAAACUCACAGCUCAACUGUGGGCGUGCGGGCGAUACGGGCAGACUAGAGUACUGCAGGGGAGACUGGAAUUCCUGGUGUAGCGGUGGAAUGCGCAGAUAUCAGGAGGAACACCGGUGGCGAAGGCGGAUCUCUGGGCCAUUACUGACGCUGAGGAGCGAAAGCGUGGGGAGCGAACAGG